CACGUAGGGUGCGAGCGUUGUCCGGAAUUAUUGGGCGUAAAGAGCUCGUAGGCGGUGUGUCGCGUCGGCCGUGAAAACCUGGGGCUUAACUCUGGGCUUGCGGUCGAUACGGGCAUCACUGGAGUUCGGCAGGGGAGACUGGAAUUCCUGGUGUAGCGGUGAAAUGCGCAGAUAUCAGGAGGAACACCGGUGGCGAAGGCAGGUCUCUGGGCCGAUACUGACGCUGAGGAGCGAAAGCGUGGGGAGCGAACAGG
rnacentral:rRNA from 1 species